rnacentral:tRNA from 1 species
ACCUGGGUGGCUCAGUCGGCUAAGUGUCUGACUUCGGCUCAGGUCAUAAUCUCAUGGCUCAUGGGUUCGAGCCCCACCUCGGGCU